GUACGAGCUGGGUGGACGUAGGUAAUGACAUGGGUGUAACGUGGCAAUGAAUAGCGACAACACAUUUUGGAAUGCAGAAUGAGUGGAAUCAUAGUUCAUGUAUACAUGGAUAUAUCCGAUUUCCAUACCGCAAGAAAAAGAAAACACCAAAGCGGUUUGCUUGUGAUGUUGCCAUGUCUAUGUCUUAGAAUGGAUCCAACAGACUUGAAGACAGAGAUACAGAAAG